UGUUUAAUUUGACACAGAUUCUUCUUUUUAUUAUAUUUUUUUCUACUGAACAAAAAAAUCAACUAGAGGACAUCAGUAGACUACUCCGACUCAGUGGUUCCGAUCAUGGCCGACGAGGCAAGAAAAACCCUUCUGGAGGAAAUAGAAGAAAAAAACUGCCCAGGCUGUAACAUCGACCGAUUCAAGCAAGAACAGCGAGGAAUCCCUUACAUCCACCUCUCCUUCAUCUGGCUCGUCUCUCUCUGCACCGGUUCAAUAUUUUCCUCCUUUAGCUUUCUCUAUGUUUGUUUUGUUUCCACGAAUUUGUGCGUCUCUCUAAUACGGAUGAUGCUCAAAACCUUGUGGUGUAUGUCAGCUCUCCCGAUAUCUUCCCUGUUUCCAUAUCUCUAUUUCAUGAUCAGAGACUUCCAUGUAGCUGAAAAAGAAGAGGAUAUUGGUUUCUAUGCUGGUUUUGUUGCAUCAUCUUUCAUGAUCGGAAGAGCUCUGACGUCUAUUCUCUGGGGGAAACUAGCUGAUCGAUAUGGUCGCAAACCUAUCAUCCUCAUGGCAACUUUCUCUGUGAUCAUAUUCAAUACCUUGUUUGGUUUAAGCACAAGCUUCUGGUUUGCUAUUUCAGUUAGAUUUCUUCUCGGCUGCGUCAAUUGUCUACUCGGAGUAAUAAGAGCAUAUGCUUCAGAAGUCGUUAGUGAAGAGUAUCACGCUCUUAGUCUUUCUGUUGUAAGUACAUCUAGAGGUAUAGGACUGAUAAUAGGCCCUGCUAUUGGAGGCUAUCUUGCUCAGCCUGCAAAGAAGUAUCCUAAUUUAUUUUCACAGGAUUCAGUUUUUGGAAGCUUUCCAUAUUUUCUCCCGAGCUUAGUUAUAUCAGCCUAUGCUACUGGGGCUCUCAUUGCAUGCUGGUGGCUGCCUGAAACACUUCAUACGCAUUGCAGAAUUGCACGCGGGAGGCUUAAUCCAAAUGAACCUGAAUAUUCACCAAAUGAACUAAACAAUGAUGGAAGUACAGGUAGAGGACUCGAAGACCAGAACACACAAAGCAAGCCAAGUCUCCUGAGGAACCGUCCAUUGAUGGCUAUCAUCAUUGUGUAUUGUGUUUUUUCCCUCCAAGAGAUAGCUUAUUCAGAGAUAUUUUCACUCUGGGCUGUUAGCGACAUAAGCUAUGGAGGAUUGAGCUUCUCGUCUCAAGAUGUUGGUCAAGUUUUAGCUAUAUCAGGACUUGGGCUUCUGUUGUUUCAACUUAUGGUAUACCCCCCAAUGGAGAAGAGCCUGGGACUCCUUGUGGUUAUACGUCUUUCCGCGGUGAUGCUAAUACCGCUGCUUUCUUGUUACCCAUCUAUAGCUUCGCUUUCAGGGUUGACCCUCCAUUUGGUGAUAAACUGUGCAUCUAUCUUGAAAAACGCGUUGUCUAUCUCUCUUGUUACAGGACUGUUUAUCUUGCUCAACAAGGCGGUGGUAUGGUUCUUGGGCCAGUGUACCACAUAUCCUUUUCCGUUUUGUUUUAGCCACAGAGUCAGAGAGGUGCUGCUAAUGGAAUUUCUAUGACCGCAAUGUCUAUUUUCAAAUCAUUUGGCCCUGCCGGUGGAGGAAUCUUAUUCUCUUGGGCACAAAAGAGACAGACUGCGACUUUCCUUCCAGGUGAUGAGAUGGUGUUCUUUGUGCUGAAUUUGGUACAACUUAUAGGAUUAAUUCUAACUUUCAUACCGUACAUUUCCCAAAACCAAUAAAAAGGUUCAUUAUACUGUACAUAGGUGAGAAAUAAAUGGGAAGUUCAUUAUAGACUAUAAAGUGUUCAUCUAUUUUUAAC